UGCCAGACUCCUACGGGAGGCAGCAGUGAGGAAUAUUGGUCAAUGGGCGCAAGCCUGAACCAGCCAAGUCGCGUGAGGGAUGACGGUCCUAUGGAUUGUAAACCUCUUUUGUCGGGGAGCAAGGCCCGCCACGUGUGGCGGGAAGGAGAGUACCCGAAGAAAAAGCAUCGGCUAACUCCGUGCCAGCAGCCGCGGUAAUACGGAGGAUGCGAGCGUUAUCCGGAUUUAUUGGGUUUAAAGGGUGCGCAGGCGGAUUUUUAAGUCAGCGGUCAAAUCGUGGGGCUCAACCCCAUCCAGCCGUUGAAACUGGGGAUCUAGAGUGUACGAGAGGUAUGCGGAAUGCGUGGUGUAGCGGUGAAAUGCAUAGAUAUCACGCAGAACCCCGAUUGCGAAGGCAGCGUACCGGCGCCCAACUGACGCUGAAGCACGAAGGCGUGGGUAUCGAACAGGAUUAGAUACCCGAGUAAU
rnacentral:rRNA from 1 species